rnacentral:rRNA from 1 species
AUUGAACGCUGGCGGCAGGCUUAACACAUGCAAGUCGAGCGGAGAUGAGGUGCUUGCACCUUAUCUUAGCGGCAGACGGGUGAGUAAUGCUUAGGAAUCUGCCUAUUAGUGGGGGACAACAUUCCGAAAGGAAUGCUAAUACCGCAUACGUCCUACGGGAGAAAGCAGGGGAUCUUCGGACCUUGCGCUAAUAGAUGAGCCUAAGUCGGAUUAGCUAGUUGGUGGGGUAAAGGCCUACCAAGGCGACGAUCUGUAGCGGGUCUGAGAGGAUGAUCCGCCACACUGGGACUGAGACACGGCCCAGACUCCUACGGGAGGCAGCAGUGGGGAAUAUUGGACAAUGGGGGGAACCCUGAUCCAGCCAUGCCGCGUGUGUGAAGAAGGCCUUAUGGUUGUAAAGCACUUUAGGCGAGGAGGAGGCUACUGAGACUAAUACUCUUGGAUAGUGGACGUUACUCGCAGAAUAAGCACCGGCUAACUCUGUGCCAGCCGCCGCGGUAAAAC